ACUCCUACGGGAGGCAGCAGUGGGGAAUAUUGGACAAUGGGCGCAAGCCUGAUCCAGCCAUGCCGCGUGAGUGAUGAAGGCCCUAGGGUUGUAAAGCUCUUUCACCGGUGAAGAUAAUGACGGUAACCGGAGAAGAAGCCCCGGCUAACUUCGUGCCAGCAGCCGCGGUAAUACGAAGGGGGCUAGCGUUGUUCGGAUUUACUGGGCGUAAAGCGCACGUAGGCGGACUAUUAAGUCAGGGGUGAAAUCCCGGGGCUCAACCCCGGAACUGCCUUUGAUACUGGUAGUCUUGAGUUCGAGAGAGGUGAGUGGAAUUCCGAGUGUAGAGGUGAAAUUCGUAGAUAUUCGGAGGAACACCAGUGGCGAAGGCGGCUCACUGGCUCGAUACUGACGCUGAGGUGCGAAAGCGUGGGGAGCAAACAGGAUUAGAUACCCUUGUAGUCCCA
rnacentral:rRNA from 1 species